UUCAUGUUUCACAGGGUUCCGGUCUGAAAGCACAUUUUCCACUGUGCUAAAUAUGGAUCAAAUUUGUAAAAAUGACUAGCUAGCUAAAUGAUAUUCACAGAAUUUGAAAGCUACAAUACGGAAUUGCACACCUCUGCCUCUGCUAGCCACACAACCACUGCCUCUGAGUGAUUGGGAGGACCUGAGCCCCUGGUCGUGCUGCCAUUCCGACUGCAGCUGUGGACCCCUGGCCUGAUUUCACGGGGCGUUCUACCUUGUCUCAGACCCCUGAUGGUCAAGUUUAGCCAGGACUCUCCUAAUGCUAUUUUGAAAUAGCACCAUGGAUGAAGGAGGGGGAGGAAAACAGCUUCUCUCUACCACACCUUCACCAAGUCAUCCAAUGUUUGCUUCAUGAAUCAUUUUUGCAUCUUCUAAAAUAAAUAUACAAUAUAAUUAUU